GUGCUCGCUUCAGCAGCACAUACACUAAAAUUGGAAUGAUACAGAGAAGAUUAGCAUGGCCCCUGGGCAAAGAUGACACACAAAUUCGUGAAGCAUUCCAUAUUUUU
rnacentral:snRNA from 1 species